rnacentral:rRNA from 1 species
CGAUGGGCCGACGUCGCAUGCUCCCGGCCGCCAUGGUUAGAGUUUGAUCCUGGCUCAGAUUGAACGCUGGCGGCAGGCUUAACACAUGCAAGUCGAGCGGAAACGAUGAUAGCUUGCUAUCAGGCGUCGGGCGGCGGACGGGUGAGUAAUACUUAGGAAUCUACCUAGUAGUGGGGGAUAGCUCGGGGAAACUCGAAUUAAUACCGCAUACGACCUACGGGAGAAAGGGGGCAACUUGUUGCUCUCGCUAUUAGAUGAGCCUAAGUCGGAUUAGCUAGAUGGUGGGGUAAAGGCCUACCAUGGCGACGAUCUGUAGCUGGUCUGAGAGGAUGAUCAGCCACACCGGGACUGAGACACGGCCCGGACUCCUACGGGAGGCAGCAGUGGGGAAUAUUGGACAAUGGGGGCAACCUGAUCCAGCCAUGCCGCGUGUGUGAAGAAGGCCUUUUGGUUGUAAAGCACUUUAAGCAGUGAAGAAGACUCCAUGGUUAAUACCCAUGGACGAUGACAUUAGCUGCAGAAUAAGCACCGGCUAACUCUGUGCCAGCAGCCGCGGUAAUACAGAGGGUGCAAGCGUUAAUCGGAAUUACUGGGCGUAAAGCGAGCGUAGGUGGCUUGAUAAGUCAGAUGUGAAAUCCCCGGGGCUUACCUGGGAACUGCAUCUGAUACUGUUAAGCUAGAAUAGGUGAGAGGAGGUAGAAUUCCAGGUGUAGCGGUGGAUGCUUAAGAUCUGGAGGAUUACGGUGGCAAAAGCACCUUCUGGCAUCAUAUUGACACUGAGGUCGA